CAGAGAUUCAGGAGGUAGUUUUUCGUUCAAAAGAAGAAAACCAACGUCUACAAAGGCUACUUGACAUAAAUCUACUCAAAUGCGGAUCAGAACUCCAGCAGUUCACCCUCUCUGUCUCUGAAGUGGAGGUACCCCCUGAGCAGGGGAAGAGCCCCAGUCUGGGGCAGGAAGACACAGAGCCCACACAGAUAAAAGAGGAACAGGGGGAACUCAGGCCCAGUCAAGAGGAAGAGCAGAACCCACAUACCAUAGAGUUUAUAUUCACUCCUGUCCUUGUGAAAAGUCACUGUGAUGAGGACCCAACUCAGCCCUCACAUCUCUAUCAAGCCCCAAAGGAAAGCAACCGAGAGGGUGACACUCUGCCCAAUACUACAACUGAACAGAACAAAACAGAACCGGAUGGAGAACACUACAGAGAAUGCGAACCAGUGAUUCUCAGACCCUCUCUGCAGUAAAUCCAGACUGUUCUGAGGAUCAGAGUGAGAACUCUGAAAGUGUCCAUAGUAUUAAAAAUGCAGGAUCUCCUUCAGGUUUUAAUCCGGUCAAAUCAAAGAGAAAACGGAUUGUAAAAAUACAACAUUCCUGUAUUAAUACUAAGGUUAGAAAAUCUAUAGAGUUAUCUAAAGUGAAAACACCCAGUCAAAGUAAUGCUGCUGUUUCUUGUUGUAAGUCUUUUCUUUAUAUGGGUUCAUUAAUGAAACAUGUGAAUACUCAUGUAAAAGAUCAAGUGGAGUGUGUGGAAUGUGUUUUCAGUCACAACAAAGUAUGACAGAUCACCACCAAACUCACAUCGGAGCUAGGUUUUCUUGUCAGGUUUGUUGUAAAUGUUUCACUACAGAAUAUGAUAUGUCAGUGCACAUGAGGAUCCACACAGAUGAGAAACAAUAUCAAUGCUCUGAUUGUGGCAAAAGCUACACUCAGUUUGGAUAUCUACAAGUACACAUGAGGAGCCACACAGGGGAGAAACCUCCAUACCCCUGCCCUGAUUGUGACAAAGGAUUCCACCGAAGUGACCAUCUAAAGAGACACAUUAGGGGCCACACAGAAGAGAAGCUAUACCAGUGCCGUGAUUGUGGCAAAGGAUUUAGCACUGCUAGCAAUCUGAAAACCCACUUAAAGAUCCACAUAGGGGAUAAGUCAUACCACUGUUGUGAAUGUGACAAACAAUUAAUUUCCAAUGGUGAACUAAAAAGGCACAUAAGGAUUCUCACAGGAGAGAAAUCAUUCCGCUGCCCUGAUUGUGGAACAGGCUUCAGUCAGAAUCACCAUCUGAAAAGACACAUGGGGAACCACACUAGGGAGAAAGCAAAGGGUUAUUCCAGAAAGCAAGAUUAAUGAGUUACCAAGCUUUUACCAAUCUUACUUUAGUCAGAUCUCAAAUCAACUCAGAAUUUCCCGCUCCAGAGAAGUAUGUCACGAAGCAGGAUAGGGGAUUUAGCAAGCAAACUUUGGUAAACAUUUAAAUUAAACUCAGAAUAACCUUUUAACCAUUACUAUGGCAAUGCUGAUUUUUGUGGGGGGUCGUGUUGAGGACCAAAUAAUUCAGUUUUUAUGUCUAGAAAGGAGUGUGCAAUUAGUGUGCAAUUACAUCCCCUUUCUAUGUAAGGGGCAAUAUGGUAUUGGAAACAUCCAUUUUAGGACUUUAACAUUUGUGAUAUAUUGACUCUUAAAUUUUUUUUCAAAAAUCCUCAUGAAUUUACUUCAACUGAGCUUAGUUCAACUUUAGAACCCAAAAUCUAAUCCAUUGUUUGUAAAAAGAAUUUAAAAUAAAAUGUAUAUUGAACAAAAAUAUAAAUGCAACAUGCAACAAUUUCAAAGACUUUACUGUUACUGUUCAUAGAAGGAAAUCAGUCAAUUGAAAUAAAUGAAUUAGGCCCUAAUCUAUGGAUGCUCACUAACAGGGAUGUUAUUUUUGAACAAAAUCUGAGAGAUAUAAGCUUUUUGUGCAUAUGAAACAUUGCUAGGGUCUUUUAUUUCAGCUCAUGAAAAAUGAGACCAAUACUUUACAUGUUGCAUUUAUAUUUUUGUUCAGUAUAUUUGUAAACAAACUCCAUGAAUUUGAAAGUGCAAUUGCUCUAGCCCUAUCCCUCAGCUGUUUACCAAAAAUAAUGGUGGGAUGACCCCUUUGUUGUUGUUUACAUCCCAAAUUGCCCCUGGGUUAAAUUCAAUUGUCGCAGUCAAAAUGUUUAUUUAGAUUUAGUAGAAUAUUAAGGCCAUUCAUUGAUGGCUGAAAUGUCAUGUUUGUAACUUGUAAAAAUAAUAAAACGUCAAGCUUUUGAGCUGCAUUUUU